GUGCCAGCAGCCGCGGUAAGACGAACCGUGCGAACGUUAUUCGGAAUCACUGGGCUUAAAGCGCGUGUAGGCGGGUGGCCGCGUCGACGGCUGAAAGCCCCCGGCUCAACCGGGGGAGUGGCCUCGAAACGGGCCGCCUGGAGGGGCGUAGGGGGAGCUGGAACUCACGGUGGAGCGGUGAAAUGCGUUGAGAUCGUGAGGAACGCCCGCGGCGAAAGCGAGCUCCUGGACGCCUGCUGACGCUGAGACGCGAAAGCCAGGGGAGCGAACGGGAUUAGAUACCCCAGUAGUCC
rnacentral:rRNA from 1 species